UAUAAAUGCACCGGCUCUAUCUGCAAACAUACAGAGACAGCAAUUUCUUUCAGUUAGCAGUCGAUCAAGUGGCCCAACGUGAAAGUACUGAUAUGAAGCUCACGUUGCUUGUCCGGGAGACAGGGGGAAAGAGGCAACAGGUGAGCUUAAAUAUGGUGCAUGCAUAGCAGCAUGUAAUGUGGAAAACAAAAAUGAACACAAAAAUGCAAGAUUAACACAAAAUGAAAGUGUGCUUUUAAGAAAUAACUACAAAGAGCUUCAUAUAAAAGAGAGCAGUCUCUCUCAGGCUCCUUCAGUGUUCAUUUCGCUCUUGUGAAGGGAUGCUGGAGAACCUAGACCAGUUUGUCUGUUCACUUGUCUGUUCAUCUGGCAUUCAAUGAGAUAAAGAUUUAUGGUCCCAGUGACUGAAAAACAAUAGUCCCUAAAGUAAAACCAAAGGCACAUUUUGAAGGUUGUCAUGGUCCUGGGCCAUGUGGGCCCAGCAUUCUUAGUUUUCAUGUAUUUUUGUAUUUUGUUCUUUAUUUAGGCCAUGCUUCCUGGGUUGAUCUGUUACGUUGUUCCUUAUGUGUUUUCCCUUCGUGACUCUUACCCCCUGUGUGCCCCUCUGUGUAUUUAUGAGCCCUCGUCUCCCUUUGUGGUUGUUUCAUGUUUCCCCAGCCCGUUAUGUCUGUGUUUUUCCCCGUGCUCUCUCUCCUCCUGUCUGAACCUCUGUGCCUGUACAUGUCAUGUUCAGUUCACCCAGCCCUGUCUCGUUAUGAUUAUCAGUGUCACCUGUGUUCCCCGUGUGUGCCCACUUUCCUCGUUUACCCUCUGUGUAUUUCUGUCUGAGUCUCCCUCUGUUCGGUGUCGUGUUCUCCCUCAUGCUGUGUGUGAUUCCCCUGUGUUCCUUGGUGAGCUUUAUGUUAGUUUUUCCCAGUUUAGUUUUGUAUUGUUUCUCGUGGCCAGCAAUAAAGCUGUGUUUUUGAGUUCACCCCCGUGUCGUACUACGGUGUACAUUUUAGGACAUCGUCAGGUAUCAGACAAAAAAUUGUCAGGUGUCAGUUGUCAAAAAAAAAAGUUGUCAGGUAUCAGAAAAAAAAUUGUCAGGUGUCAGAAAAAAAAUUGUCAGGUGUCAGUUGUCAAAAAAAAAAAAAGUCAGGUAUCAGAAAAAAAAUUGUCAGGUGUCAGAAAAAAAGUUGUCAGGUGUCAGAAAAAAAGUUGUCAGGUGUCAGACAAAAAAUUGUCAGGUGUCAGUUGUCAAAAAAAAAAAAGUCAGGUAUCAGAAAAAAAAUUGUCAGGUGUCAGAAAAAAAGUUGUCAGGUGUCAGAAAAAAAGUUGUCAGGUGUCAGAAAAAAAAUUGUCAGGUGUCAGUUGUCCAAAAAAAAAAAAGUCAGGUGUCAGAAAAAAAAUUGUCAGGUGUCAGAAAAAAAGUUGUCAGGUGUCAGAAAAAAAGUUGUCAGGUGUCAGACAAAAAAUUGUCAGGUGUCAGUUGUCAAAAAAAAAAAAGUCAGGUAUCAGAAAAGAAAUUGUCAGGUGUCAGAAAAAAAGUUGUCAGGUGUCAGAAAAAAAGUUGUCAGGUGUCAGACAAAAAAGUUGUCAGGUGUCAGAAAAAAAAUUGUCAGGUAUCAGAACACAAGGUACCAGAGAGAAAAUCUUCCUGCAGGUGGCGCUGUUGUCAUGUCCCACCCGAAUUGAUUUCCAAAUACGUCAUCAACGUGUGACCGUGGGAGAGCGUAAGGUCAUUGACCUCACCGGAGUUUUACCGUGGUUCAGGCUCCUAACGACACAAGGUAAGUUUAACUUUUUCUCCCUUUUGUUCAUAUUUUUGCCACAGUUGUGUUAUAUUAAGUUGCAGUUAUGUUGUGAAAGUUACAUAUCAGAGACGGAAAGCCAGUUUUGUACGAAACCAAAUCAGUACUAUUUUUGUCUGGCUAAUUCAUUCUAGCUAGCGACAGUGGUGAAACGUGAUUCAAAUUUAAACUGUUCAGUAAUUGUUUUGUAUACAUUUCAGCAAAUGGACAAGCUGAAAGCUUACGAGCAGCCUGCAUCCUUUCUGUCGCUCUUUUUCUUUAUUUCUCUUUUCUAUAUUGCUACUGUCGGGAUAUUUUUUGAUCCCGAUUUUUUUUUCUGUUAUUGUUUUUAGACUUUGCUGCAAUAUGUCAUCUGACGAUGAUGAAAGGAGUAUCCGACUCUGGCUGGUUCCCAUGACUGUACCAAAAAUACUUUUUUUUUUAUUAAAAAAAGAGCAUUAAAAAUAAAUGACUAAAGUACAACUUAUUUAUUAACUACUGUUCACCUAUUUAAUAUCAAAGAAGUGUAUUUUUUGCUACACGUUUUAUUUGUGGGCACUGAAUUGACGAUGCUUUUAGUGUAAUUGCCACAUAAAAAGAUUUAGUACUUUACUGGUUAAUUACUUAUGUUCAGUGUAAGAGGUGGGUGAUCAAUUAGACUGUUGUUGUUACACUUAACCUUUCAAGAUAUGAUGAUAAUAACAUUGUUCAACAAAGGCUUAAAACAAAAGGAAAUCAGCUGUGCACUGAAUUCAUAUGGGCAUAAAAUAAGUGAGAGGCAUCUGAGACGAGUUUUAAAACUUCUAGGGUUGAAGCGAAGAUGCCCCCAACGACCUUUUACUGAAAUCCAC
ensembl:lncRNA